UACUCCUACGGGAGGCAGCAGGCGCGCAAAUUACCCACUCCCGACUCGGGGAGGUAGUGACGAAAAAUAACAAUACAGGACUCUUUCGAGGCCCUGUAAUUGGAAUGAGUACACUUAAUCCUAACGAGAUCAUGGGC
rnacentral:rRNA from 1 species